rnacentral:rRNA from 1 species
CGGUACGAGAUGAGCCCGCGGCCUAUCAGCUUGUUGGUGGGGUAAUGGCCUACCAAGGCGUCGACGGGUAGCCGGCCUGAGAGGGUGGACGGCCACAUUGGGACUGAGAUACGGCCCAGACUCCUACGGGAGGCAGCAGUGGGGAAUAUUGCACAAUGGGCGCAAGCCUGAUGCAGCGACGCCGCGUGAGGGAUGACGGCCUUCGGGUUGUAAACCUCUUUCGACAGGGACGAAGCUUUUUGUGACGGUACCUGUAUAAGAAGCACCGGCUAACUACGUGCCAGCAGCCGCGGUAAUACGUAGGGUGCGAGCGUUGUCCGGAAUUACUGGGCGUAAAGAGCUCGUAGGUGGUUUGUCGCGUCGUCUGUGAAAUUCCGGGGCUUAACUCCGGGCGUGCAGGCGAUACGGGCAUAACUUGAGUGCUGUAGGGGAGACUGGAAUUCCUGGUGUAGCGGUGGAAUGCGCAGAUAUCAGGAGGAACACCGAUGGCGAAGGCAGGUCUCUGGGCAGUAACUGACGCUGAGGAGCGAAAGCAUGGGGAGCGAACAGGAUUAGAUACCCUGGUAGUCCAUGCCGUAAACGGUGGGCGCUAGGUGUGAGGGUCUUCCACGACUUUCGUGCCGUAGCUAACGCAUUAAGCGCCCCGCCU